UGCAUAUUCCAAUAGCGGAGGAAAAGAAACUAACAAGGAUUCCCCUAGUAACGGCGAGUGAAGAGGGAAGAGCCCAAGUUUGAAAGCUGGCGUCUUCGGCGUCCGCAUUGUAAACUCGAGAAGCGUUUUCCGCGCCGGACCAAGCUCAAGUCCCUUGGAAUAGGGCAUCAUAGAGGGUGAGAGUCCCGUACUUGGCUUGGAGUCCCCGGGGCUUUGUGAUACGCUCUCCAAGAGUCGAGUUGUUUGGGAAUGCAGCUCAAAAUGGGUGGUAAAUGCCAUCUAAGGCUAAAUAUCGAGGAGAGACCGAUAGCGAACAAGUACCGUGAGGGAAAGAUGAAAAGAACUUUGGAAAGAGAGUUAAACAGUACGUGAAAUUGCCGGAAGGGAAGGGUAGGGAGUCAGAUAUGCUGUGCGGAUUCAGCCUUGUCUUUGGACUUGGUGUAUUUUCGUAUUGGCAGGCCAGCAUCGGUUUGUGCCGCUGGAUAUAGGCUUGGGGAAUGUGGCUUUGUCUUCGGUCAAAGUGUUAUAGCCCCUUGCUGAGUACAGCGGCAUGGACCGAGGCACGCAGCGCACCCUCUGGGCGGGCCCUCGGGCACCUUUGCGCUUAGGAUGCUGGCUUAAUGGCUCUCUGCCACCCGUCUUGA
rnacentral:rRNA from 1 species